rnacentral:rRNA from 1 species
CCUACGGGGGGCAGCAGUGAGGAAUAUUGGUCAAUGGGCGGAAGCCUGAACCAGCCAAGUCGCGUGAGGGAAGACGGUCCUAUGGAUUGUAAACCUCUUUUGUCUGGGAGCAACACGCGUCACGCGUGGCGUUCUGAGAGUACCCGAAGAAAAAGCACCGGCUAACUCCGUGCCAGCAGCCGCGGUAAUACGGAGGAUGCGAGCGUUAUCCGGAUUUAUUGGGUUUAAGGGGUGCGCAGGCGGAAGAUCAAGUGAGCGGUAAAAUUGAGAGGCUCAACCCCGUCGAGCCGUUGAAACUGGUUUGCUUGAGUACGGGAGAGGCAGGCGGAAUGCGUAGUGUAGCGGUGAAAUGCGUAGAUAUGAGGAGGAACACCAGUGGCGAAGGCAGUCUGCUGGACAGCAACUGACGCUGAGGCGCGAAAGCGUGGGGAGCGAACAGGAUUAGAUACCCCAGUAGUC